UCAGGAUGAACGCUAGCGACAGGCCUAACACAUGCAAGUCGAGGGGCAGCACAAGGAGCAAUCUGAGGUGGCGACCGGCGCACGGGUGAGUAACACGUAUGCAACCUGCCUGUAAGCGGGGAAUAACCCGUUGAAAGACGGACUAAUACCGCAUAAUACUAAAUUACUGCAUGGUAAUUUAUUUAAACAUUUAUGGCUUACAGAUGGGCAUGCGCAUGAUUAGCUAGUUGGAGAGGUAACGGCUCCCCAAGGCAACGAUCAUUAGGGGUUCUGAGAGGAAGGUCCCCCACACUGGUACUGAGACACGGACCAGACUCCUACGGGAGGCAGCAGUGAGGAAUAUUGGUCAAUGGACGAGAGUCUGAACCAGCCAAGUCGCGUGCAGGAAGAAUUGUCCUAUGGAUUGUAAACUGCUUUUGCAGGGGAAUAAAGUGCAUCACGUGUGAUGUUUUGUAUGUACUCUGCGAAUAAGGAUCGGCUAACUCCGUGCCAGCCGCCGC
rnacentral:rRNA from 1 species